rnacentral:rRNA from 1 species
GGGUCAGUAGGUUGGUCGUGCCACCGGUACGUACUGGUCUCACUGAUUCCUCCUUCCUGAAGAACCGUAAUGCCAUUAAUUUGGUGUUGCGGGGAAACAGGACUGUUACUUUGAAAAAAUUAGAGUGUUUAAAGCAAGCUGACGCUUGAAUACAUUAGCAUGGAAUAAUGAAAUAGGACGAUCGAUCAUAUUUUGUUGGUUUCUAGGAUUGACGUA